rnacentral:rRNA from 1 species
CCUACGGGAUGCAGCAGUGGGGGAUAUUGCACAAUGGGGGGAACCCUGAUGCAGCGACGCCGCGUGGGUGAAGAAGCGCCUCGGCGCGUAAAGCCCUGUCAGCAGGGAAGAAAAUGACGGUACCUGACGAAGAAGCCCCGGCUAACUACGUGCCAGCAGCCGCGGUAAUACGUAGGGGGCAAGCGUUAUCCGGAUUUACUGGGUGUAAAGGGGGCGCAGACGGCGAUGCAAGCCAGGAGUGAAAGCCCGGGGCCCAACCCCGGGACUGCGCUUGGAACUGCGUGGCUGGAGUGCAGGAGGGGCAGGCGGAAUUCCUGGUGUAGCGGUGAAAUGCGUAGAUAUCAGGAGGAACACCGGUGGCGAAGGCGGCCUGCUGGACUGCAACUGACGUUGAGGCCCGAAAGCGUGGGGAGCAAACAGGAUUAGAUACCCGAGUAGUC